rnacentral:rRNA from 1 species
CAGCAGCCACGGUAAUACGUAGGGCGCAAGCGUUGUCCGGAAUUAUUGGGCGUAAAGAGCUCGUAGGCGGUCUGUCGCGUCUGGUGUGAAAUCCCGAGGCUCAACCUCGGGCUUGCAUCGGGUACGGGCAGACUAGAGUGCGGUAGGGGAGACUGGAAUUCCUGGUGUAGCGGUGGAAUGCGCAGAUAUCAGGAGGAACACCGAUGGCGAAGGCAGGUCUCUGGGCCGCAACUGACGCUGAGGAGCGAAAGCAUGGGGAGCGAACAGGAUUAGAUACCCCGGUAGUCCCUGUCUCUUAUAC